CAACGCGCGCCGCCAGUACUGUGCUCACCUGCCAGCCGAGCGCAGGCGCCGUCCGCGUGUUGUUUCGCGACAUCUACCGUCUCGUCCGGUCACGCAACCGUAGCGCCCCCACCUAUCGAUAUCUGACUCGAACUGGACAUCAUCUGUCCACACUCGGAUAGUGUGUGUGCUCUUGGAGUGGAGAACUUGGCUUCCCAAACAACUUACCCGUCCUCACAGAUCGAUCGCACUCAGAAUAUUCUCUGAACUGCUUAAACCGGACAUUGCCUCGAAGACAAAAAACUUAAAGAAGUCGAAGCUAUGGCGCUAAUACUACAGUAUUUAAAAUGGGAUAUGCAUCGUUUUUAUGGACAAAUAUGGAGCUAACCAGUUUCAAGUUCCUUCAUGAGCAUAUUUAUAGACGACCCACAAAACAGAUCCUCGAACUAAUCCAUGGUUCCUGAUGAGUUCCCCAUUACCUACAUUAUUAAUAUGUUUAAGCUACG
rnacentral:lncRNA from 1 species